rnacentral:rRNA from 1 species
UACGUAGGCAGCAAGCGUUGUUCGGAGUUACUGGGCGUAAAGGGUGUGUAGGCGGUUGUUUAAGUUUGGUGUGAAAUCUCCCGGCUCAACUGGGAGGGUGCGCCGAAUACUGAAUGACUAGAGUGCGGGAGAGGAAAGUGGAAUUCCUGGUGUAGCGGUGAAAUGCGUAGAUAUCAGGAGGAACACCGGUGGUGUAGACGGCUUUCUGGACCGUAACUGACGCUGAAACACGAAAGCGUGGGUAGCAAACAGG